UCCAGCGACGGAUCUGGCUUGAAGCAGUAGCACUGCAAAAUCUUCAGUAGCACUCAGCUUGAUUCCGGAAUCGACCUGCGCCUCUGACUCCAAUCUGAAUCGCGCCGGCGGCGACGAUGCGCUCACCAUUCACGAAGACGACGGCGACGGAUCUAGCUUGAAUCUCCGAAGCAGUAGCACUGCAAAAAAAAUCUCCAGUAGCACUCAAAUUGAUUCCGGAAUCGACCUUCGCCUCUUAUUCUAAAAUUGCAGAGUGUAAUUCUGUGAGAGAGAGAGAGAGGAUCGUCAGAAACAGAAGAAAAAGAUGAAUUACUGCUAGUUUGAGAUUGAUUGAGGGGAAGCAGUAGCAUUCAGGGGAAGCAGUAGCACUCAGUUUGGAGUGUGGGGAAGUAGUAGCCUCUUCUGAAAAUGAUGAAUUACUGCUAGUUUGAGAUUGAUUGAGGGGAAGCAGUAGCAUUCAGGGGAAGCAGUAGCACUCAGUUUGGGAACCCAUAUCGGCCAUAAGACCCUCUCCUUGAUUCUCGGAGCGACCGCCGCUAGCAGAUGAAGAAGAUGGAGAAAUGGCCAGGCAUUUAUAUGGGUCGCGGAAUCUGGGCCCAAGCAGGAGACUUGAGGAGGGUGGUGUUAUCCUCCACCACUUGUAUUUGAGAUUCUUAUUUUGG